rnacentral:rRNA from 1 species
UACGGAGGGUGCAAGCGUUAUCCGGAUUUACUGGGUUUAAAGGGUGCGCAGGCGGAUAUGUAAGUCAGUGGUGAAAUCUCUAGGCUUAACCUGGAAAUUGCCGUUGAUACUAUAUAUCUUGAAUGCUGUGGAGGUAAGCGGAAUAUGUCAUGUAGCGGUGAAAUGCUUAGAUAUGACAUAGAACACCUAUUGCGAAGGCAGCUUACUACGCAGAUAUUGACGCUCAUGCACAAAAGCGUGGGGAUCAAACAGG